CCAGACAGAGACGAAAGUCUCUUUUCGGGGGCAACUUCGGCAGCCGAAAGGCCUGCCUCCCCAGCCAUGUUCGGCGGCCGAAAGUUCCUUCGGCUGCCGAACCUGGUUUCUGCCAAAGGGCAGAAACUUGGCUCCUUUAAGCACAUUUGCCUCCAAAACUUCCAAUCAUGCAUUUAGCUCAACCAAAACAUGCAAAUAUACAUACAUUGGCUCCUAGGGGCUUCAAACUAACUUAAACCCCAACUACAACACACAA
rnacentral:lncRNA from 1 species